rnacentral:tRNA from 1 species
GGAGAUAUAGCUCAGUGGCAGAGCAUUCGACUGCAGAUCGAGAGGUCCCGGUUCAAACCCCGGUGCCCCCU